GCGUCUGUAGUCCAACGGUUAGGAUAAUUGCCUUCCAAGCAAUAGAUCCGGGUUCAGACGCA
rnacentral:tRNA from 1 species